CCCCGGUCACGCGCGCCCGCGGCGAAGGCGGGGAGGCAGGUGUGACUCCCUCGCGGCAGCCUCUAGCGCGGCUCCCCGGCGCCGCCCCACUUCCCCAGACGAGACCCGGACUCCUCGGCGGCCGACGGCCCCCGCCCCGCGCCUCCCACGCCCUCCGCCCGGCCGCCACCUGCCCGCCCGGCCCGCGGAGGGCGCCCAGCUACCGCAGCUCCUCCACCGGCGCGGACGCCGCCCCGACCGCCACCACCUCCGCUCAAAAUGGUGGUUACGAAACGCGCGGCCCCCGCCCGCCCCGCCACAUGGCCGCGCCGGCUCCAAACUUCGCAGGCCCGGCCGCGACCCGGCUCCCAGGCGAGGCCCCGGCGGCGCGAGGAGGCCGCGCGGCCACCGGCCACUCACCCACAGACCGGUAGCCCAGGAUCGCGAUCUUCCCUGCACAGCCGCGCGAUGACGUGUCGGAAACUCCAUCUCCCAUUGGGGGAAACAAGGAGGCGGGGAGGGGGGGCGGGGCUGCCCGCCCGGGAGCUAAAAAUACACGGCGCUGCUACCGCGCUGUUGGACGCCGGCUAGGUUUGAAGGCUUCAAACUUCCAACCGGUUAGGGGCGGGCGGGAGAGGCGGAGAGACAAACGGU
rnacentral:lncRNA from 1 species